rnacentral:rRNA from 1 species
UACGUAGGCAGCGAGCGUUGUUCGGAGUUACUGGGCGUAAAGGGUGCGUAGGCGGUUUUCCAAGUUUGGUGUGAAAUCUCCCGGCUUAACUGGGAGGGUGCGCCGAAAACUAGGAGACUUGAGUACCGGAGAGGUAAGCGGAAUUCCUGGUGUAGCGGUGAAAUGCGUAGAGAUCAGGAGGAACACCUGUAGUGUAGACAGCUUACUGGACGGUCACUGACGCUGAGGCACGAAAGCGUGGGUAGCAAACAGG